UAACGGCGAGUGAAGCGGUAACAGCUCAAAUUUGAAAGCUAGCUCUUUUAGGGUUCGCAUUGUAAUUUGUAGAAGAUGCUUCGGGUGUGGCCCCGGUCUAAGUUCCUUGGAACAGGACGUCAUAGAGGGUGAGAAUCCCGUAUGUGACUGGGUGCUUUCGCUCAUGUGAAGCUCUUUCGACGAGUCGAGUUGUUUGGGAAUGCAGCUCAAAAUGGGUGGUAAAUUUCAUCUAAAGCUAAAUAUUGGCCAGAGACCGAUAGCGCACAAGUAGAGUGAUCGAAAGAUGAAAAGCACUUUGGAAAGAGAGUUAAACAGUACGUGAAAUUGUUGAAAGGGAAGCGCUUGCAACCAGACUUGCGCGCUGAUGAUCAUCCGGGCUUCUGUCCGGUGCACUCGUCUGCGCUCAGGCCAGCAUCGGUUUCGGUGGUGGGAUAAAGGCCUUGGGAAUGUAGCUCCUCUCGGGGAGUGUUAUAGCCCUCGGUGCAAUGCCGCCUAUCGGGACCGAGGACCGCGCUUCGGCUAGGAUGCUGGCGUAAUGGUUGUAAGCGACCCGUCUUGAAACACGGACCAAGGAGUCUAACAUCUAUGCGAGUGUUUGGGUGUCAAACCCAUACGCGUAAUGAAAGUGAACGGAGGUGAGAACCCUUAAGGGUGCAUCAUCGACCGGUCCUGAUGUCUUCGGAUGGAUCUGAGUAAGAGCAUAGCUGUUGGGACCCGAAAGAUGGUGAACUAUGCGUGAAUAGGGUGAAGCCAGAGGAAACUCUGGUGGAGGCUCGCAGCGGUUCUGACGUGCAAAUCGAUCG
rnacentral:rRNA from 1 species